rnacentral:rRNA from 1 species
GCAAGUCGAACGAUGAUGCCCAGCUUGCUGGGCGGAUUAGUGGCGAACGGGUGAGUAAUACGUGAGUAACCUGCCCUUGACUCUGGGAUAAGCCUGGGAAACUGGGUCUAAUACUGGAUACUACCUCUUACCGCAUGGUGGGUGGUGGAAAGGGUUUUACUGGUUUUGGAUGGGCUCACGGCCUAUCAGCUUGUUGGUGGGGUAAUGGCUCACCAAGGCGACGACGGGUAGCCGGCCUGAGAGGGUGACCGGCCACACUGGGACUGAGACACGGCCCAGACUCCUACGGGAGGCAGCAGUGGGGAAUAUUGCACAAUGGGCGGAAGCCUGAUGCAGCGACGCCGCGUGAGGGAUGACGGCCUUCGGGUUGUAAACCUCUUUCAGUAGGGAAGAAGCGAGAGUGACGGUACCUGCAGAAGAAGCGCCGGCUAACUACGUGCCAGCAGCCGCGGUAAUACGUAGGGCGCAAGCGUUGUCCGGAAUUAUUGGGCGUAAAGAGCUCGUAGGCGGUUUGUCGCGUCUGCUGUGAAAGCCCGGGGCUCAACCCCGGGUCUGCAGUGGGUACGGGCAGACUAGAGUGCAGUAGGGGAGACUGGAAUUCCUGGUGUAGCGGUGAAAUGCGCAGAUAUCAGGAGGAACACCGAUGGCGAAGGCAGGUCUCUGGGCUGUUACUGACGCUGAGGAGCGAAAGCAUGGGGAGCGAACAGGAUUAGAUACCCUGGUAGUCCAUGCCGUAAACGUUGGGCACUAGGUGUGGGGGACAUUCCACGUUUUCCGCGCCGUAGCUAACGCAUUAAGUGCCCCGCCUGGGGAGUACGGCCGCA